ACUAACCAGGAUUCUCCUAGUAACGGCGAGUGAACGGAGAUUAGCCCAUCACCGAAGUCUAUUCAUGUUUGUGAACAGGACAAUGUGGUGUUCGGGCAUACGCCUGGGAUCGUAGGCUUGCUGUAAGUCCAACUCCGAUUGCGGCUUUGGAUAUAGUCCGUAGCGGGUGAAAGACCCGUGACCGGCUUGCUCAUAAUUCCCUACUACGAUUCCCGGAUGCGUGUGCUUUCGAGUCGGAUUGCUUGAGAAUGCAGUCCAAAGUGGGUGGUAAACUCCAUCCAAGGCUAAAUACUGGCAUGAGUCCGAUAGUAGACAAGUACCGUGAGGGAAAGUUGAAAAGUACUCUGAAGAGAGAGUAAAUAGUACGUGAAACCAAUUGCAGAGAAUCAGGUGGAGUCAAGCUUCAUGCUUGAAGGAUUGUCUUUCGAUCGUUUUUUGCUUGGACGUGGGGAAUGGCAACUUGGAAUAAGUUGGGUGCACUGGUUGCGCUUCAAGUCGUUCUGGGAAGCCUGAUUGUCCGUCCCCUAUCUCCUAGAUCGGAUGCCGUAUCUUUCUAUGCAUAAGUCACUAUUCAUAGCGUAUGUGUGUUGUGAUGGUCUAACAGCGUCUGAACCGGUUUCGGCUGGUCGGAUGUUGAAUGGAAGGUGGUUCCCUGGCCGGUUCUCGGUUAUGGGGAUUUAUCGUUGAUUUCGAUCCGCUGGCUAUCAUGAUAUUGCAUCUACGUUAUGUGCUCUUUUAUUUUGUUAGUGUAUAAUCCUCGUGAUUAUAUGCGUUGUGUAUCAGUGACUCUGAGGUAGACGUUCCACCUGACCCGUCUUGAA
rnacentral:rRNA from 1 species